GACGAACGCUGGCGGCGUGCUUAACACAUGCAAGUCGAACGGUGAAGCGCCUUCCUUUUUGGUGGGUGUGGAUGAGUGGCGAACGGGUGAGUAACACGUGAGUAACCUGCCCCCUUCUUCUGGAUAACCGCAUGAAAGUGUGGCUAAUACGGGAUAUUCUGGGUCUGUCGCAUGAUGGGUCUGGGAAAGAUAUUGUUUCGGUGGGGGAUGGGCUCGCGGCCUAUCAGCUUGUUGGUGGGGUGAUGGCCUACCAAGGCGGUGACGGGUAGCCGGCCUGAGAGGGUGGACGGUCACACUGGGACUGAGACACGGCCCAGACCCCUACGGGAGGCAGCAGUGGGGAAUAUUGCACAAUGGGUGCAAGCCUGAUGCAGCGACGCCGCGUGAGGGAUGGAGGCCUUCGGGUUGUGAACCUCUUUCGCCAGUGAAGCAGGCCUGCCUCGUUUGUGGGUGGGUUGACGGUAGCUGGAUAAGAAGCGCCGGCUAACUACGUG
rnacentral:rRNA from 1 species